UGCUUUACGGAGAGAUACAGGCUGAACUUGACAAUAAAAUUCUCUUUUAUCAUACUCAUUCUCACUGCGAGGACCAGCUUCAGCUUUAAUUUAUCUUUUUUGUUGACCAGAGCUCUUAAUCUACAAAAGGAAGAUGUGUCUUACAACUACUCGGUUGUGGCCUAUAAUGUGAUGAUGAUGAUGAUGAUGAUGAUGAUGAUGUAGCUACUACUAAUAUGAAAUAUGUCUCACCAGUGAAGAGAGGUACAGAGCUGAGACUAGUGGACAUUAAACUAAGUGAAGGAGUUGGAACAAUUCAAAUGAGUGUCAUUAAAGUGACGGUUGAAUGUAGCAGGUGUAAGUGCAGGACUGACCUCCUCUGCAAA